ensembl:ncRNA Y67D2.11 ncRNA
UGCUUCUACUCGUAUUGAUGGCAUAAAAACUUUAUUUAUUCACAUUUGCAGUCUUAAAUUGGGCUGAAAAUGUGAAUAAAUACCGUAUUUCUGCCAAC